AACGAACGCUGGCGGCGUGCUUAACACAUGCAAGUCGAACGAUGAAGCCCAGCUUGCUGGGCGGAUUAGUGGCGAACGGGUGAGUAACACGUGAGUAACCUGCCCUUGACUCUGGGAUAAGCCCGGGAAACUGGGUCUAAUACCGGAUAGGAGCGCCUGUCGCAUGACGGGUGCUGGGAAGAUCUUUCGGUCAUGGAUGGACUCGCGGCCUAUCAGCUUGUUGGUGAGGUAACGGCUCACCAAGGCGACGACGGGUAGCCGGCCUGAGAGGGUGACCGGCCACACUGGGACUGAGACACGGCCCAGACUCCUACGGGAGGCAGCAGUGGGGAAUAUUGCACAAUGGGCGAAAGCCUGAUGCAGCGACGCCGCGUGAGGGAUGACGGCCUUCGGGUUGUAAACCUCUUUCAGCAGGGAAGAAGCGAAAGUGACGGUACCUGCAGAAGAAGCACCGGCUAACUACGUGCCAGCCGCCGCAGUAA
rnacentral:rRNA from 1 species